GCGUCGGAAUUGAUGCGGGAGAGACCAAAGUCGGCGAGGCGGGCGCGGAGAUCCGUGUCGAGCAGGACGUUGCUGGGCUUGACGUCGCCGUGCACGACCGGCGGCUUAACGACGGAGUGGAGGUAAUGGAGCGCGGCGGCCACGUCGCGGGCGACGGCAAGGCGGCGGGGCCACUCCGCCACGAGCUCCGGGCAGCGCCGCCCCAGCAGCGCGUCCUGCAGCGACCCGUUGGGCAUGAGGUCGUACACCAGCAUCAUCCGCCGCGGCCGCCCCUCGCCCCGCGCCGCGGACGACAUCGAGUACGCGAACGGCAGC
rnacentral:sRNA from 1 species